rnacentral:rRNA from 1 species
UACGAAGGGUGCAAGCGUUACUCGGAAUUACUGGGCGUAAAGCGUGCGUAGGUGGUUUGUUAAGUCUGUUGUGAAAGCCCCAGGCUCAACCUGGGAAUGGCAAUGGAUACUGGCAGGCUAGAGUGCGGUAGAGGGUAGUGGAAUUCCCGGUGUAGCGGUGAAAUGCGUAGAGAUCGGGAGGAACACCAGUGGCGAAGGCGGCUACCUGGACCAGCACUGACACUGAGGCACGAAAGCGUGGGGAGCAAACAGG